ensembl:snRNA U1 U1 spliceosomal RNA
AUACUUACCUGGCAGGGCAGAAACCAUGAUCACAAAGAUGGUUUUCCCAGGGCGAGGCUUAUCCAUUGCACUCCAGAUGUGCUGACCCCUGAGAUUUCCCCAAAUGCGGGAAACCCAACUGCAUAGUUUGUGGUAGUGGGGGACUGAGUUCGCACUUUCCCUUG